rnacentral:rRNA from 1 species
UACGUAGGGUGCAAGCGUUAAUCGGAAUUACUGGGCGUAAAGCGUGCGCAGGCGGCUAUGCAAGACAGAUGUGAAAUCCCCGGGCUCAACCUGGGAAUUGCAUUGGAGACUGCAAGGCUAGAAUCUGGCAGAGGGGGGUAGAAUUCCACGUGUAGCAGUGAAAUGCGUAGAGAUGUGGAGGAACACCGAUGGCGAAGGCAGCCCCCUGGGUCAAGAUUGACGCUCAUGCACGAAAGCGUGGGGAGCAAACAGG